UGCCAGCAGCCGCGGUAAUACGAAGGGUGCUAGCGUUGUUCGGAAUUACUGGGCGUAAAGAGCAUGUAGGCGGAUGAAUUAGUCGGAGGUGAAAGCCCCGAGCUCAACUUGGGAACUGCCUUUGAUACUGUUUAUCUAGAGUCCGAGAGAGGGUAGCGGAAUUGUCGGUGUAGAGGUGAAAUUCGUAGAUAUCGGCAAGAACAUCUGCGGCGAAGGCGGCUACCUGGAUCGAGAUUGACGCUGAGGCACGAAAGCGUGGGGAGCAAACAGGAUUAGAUA
rnacentral:rRNA from 1 species